rnacentral:misc_RNA from 1 species
AAGUCGUAACAAGGUUUCCGUAGGUGAACCUGCGGAAGGAUCAUUAAUACGUUUCUAAACGAACGUUUUAAACUCCAAAAUUUUAAUAGUGGAAAUAUAACUUCCGGAUGCAUAUGUAGGGAGGGGAAGAUUAGACCUUAAAAAAGUCUGGUUUUCUCCUUUUUGAAAAGGAAACUUCAUGCACUUUAUUGUGUGUGACACUUCAGAGUAGAGCAGUGAGGUGAAAACUUCGGUUUUGGUUUCUGAAAUACAUCUGUAUCCGGUUAUUCUCUGUUCUACAACCCUUUUAUUAAACAAUAAACCCCAUGUACAACAACUUGAACUAAACAAAUUUUGUUUUCUCUCUGUGAGAAGAUGAAGUAAAAUCUGAACUUAAGAACAACUCUUAACAACGGAUAUCUUGGUUCUC